rnacentral:rRNA from 1 species
GACGAACGCUGGCGGCGUGCUUAACACAUGCAAGUCGAGCGGUAAGGCCCUUUCGGGGGUACACGAGCGGCGAACGGGUGAGUAACGCGUGAGUAACCUGCCCCCCUCUCUGGGAUAACAGUUGGAAACGGCUGCUAAUACCGGAUAUUCAGACCUUUAGGCAUCUUUUGGUUUGGAAAGUUCUGGCGGUGGGGGAUGGA